rnacentral:rRNA from 1 species
CCUACGGGGUGCAGCAGUGGGGGAUAUUGCACAAUGGGGGAAACCCUGAUGCAGCGACGCCGCGUGUGGGAAGACGGUCCUCUGGAUUGUAAACCACUGUCCCCAGGGACGAAAAUGACGGUACCUGGGGAGGAAGCUCCGGCUAACUACGUGCCAGCAGCCGCGGUAAUACGUAGGGAGCGAGCGUUGUCCGGAAUUACUGGGUGUAAAGGGAGCGUAGGCGGGGAUGCAAGUUGGGUGUCAAAACUACCGGCUCAACUGGUAGUCGCACUCAAAACUGCAGCUCUUGAGUGAAGUAGAGGCAGGCGGAAUUCCUAGUGUAGCGGUGAAAUGCGUAGAUAUUAGGAGGAACACCGGCGGCGAAGGCGGCCUGCUGGACUGAAACUGACGUUGAGGCUCGAAAGCGUGGGGAGCAAACAGGAUUAGAUACCCCUGUAGUC